UAGGGAAUCUUCGGCAAUGGACGAAAGUCUGACCGAGCAACGCCGCGUGAGUGAAGAAGGUUUUCGGAUCGUAAAACUCUGUUGUUAGAGAAGAACAAGGACGUUAGUAACUGAACGUCCCCUGACGGUAUCUAACCAGAAAGCCACGGCUAACUACGUGCCAGAAGCCGCGGUAAUACGUAGGUGGCAAGCGUUGUCCGGAUUUAUUGGGCGUAAAGCGAGCGCAGGCGGUUUCUUAAGUCUGAUGUGAAAGCCCCCGGCUCAACCGGGGAGGGUCAUUGGAAACUGGGAGACUUGAGUGCAGAAGAGGAGAGUGGAAUUCCAUGUGUAGCGGUGAAAUGCGUAGAUAUAUGGAGGAACACCAGUGGCGAAGGCGGCUCUCUGGUCUGUAACUGACGCUGAGGCUCGAAAGCGUGGGGAGCAAACAGG
rnacentral:rRNA from 1 species